CCUACGGGAGGCAGCAGUGGGGAAUCUUCCGCAAUGGACGAAAGUCUGACGGAGCAACGCCGCGUGAGUGAUGAAGGCUUUCGGGUCGUAAAACUCUGUUGUUAGGGAAGAACAAGUGCUAGUUGAAUAAGCUGGCACCUUGACGGUACCUAACCAGAAAGCCACGGCUAACUACGUGCCAGCAGCCGCGGUAAUACGUAGGUGGCAAGCGUUAUCCGGAAUUAUUGGGCGUAAAGCGCGCGCAGGUGGUUUCUUAAGUCUGAUGUGAAAGCCCACGGCUCAACCGUGGAGGGUCAUUGGAAACUGGGAGACUUGAGUGCAGAAGAGGAAAGUGGAAUUCCAUGUGUAGCGGUGAAAUGCGUAGAGAUAUGGAGGAACACCAGUGGCGAAGGCGACUUUCUGGUCUGUAACUGACACUGAGGCGCGAAAGCGUGGGGAGCAAACAGGAUUAGAUACCCUGGUAGUCCACGCCGUAAACGAUGAGUGCUAAGUGUUAGAGGGUUUCCGCCCUUUAGUGCUGAAGUUAACGCAUUAAGCACUCCGCCUGGGGAGUACGGCCGCAAGGCUGAAACUCAAAGGAAUU
rnacentral:rRNA from 1 species